rnacentral:misc_RNA from 1 species
UCCCCGUUCUCCUGGGCAGUCUCUCCAGAGUUCUCGGCUUGACCCGUUAGUAACUGAAGACAGGGGUUGCGCUCGUUGCGGGACUUAACCCAACACCUCAUGGCACGGGCUGACGACAGCCAUGCAGCACCUAACCACAGGUUAUCCGAAGAUCACCCCGAUUUUUCAACCAGGUUCCUGUGUUUUCUAGCCCAGGUAAGGUUCUUCGCGUUGCGUCGAAUUAAACCACAUGCUCCACCGCUUGUGCGGGCCCCCGUCAAUUCCUUUGAGUUUCAGCCUUGCGGCCGUACUCCCCAGGCGGAGUGCUUAAUGCGUUAGCUGCAGCACUAAAGGGCGGAAACCCUCUAACACUUAGCACUCAUCGUUUACAGCGUGGACUAC